UGGCAACGGGUGAGUAACGCGUGGGCGACCUACCUUCGAGUGGGGGAUAACCUUCCGAAAGGAGGGCUAAUACCGCAUGACAUUCCGUGUUUGGACACACGGGUAUCAAAGCCGGGGAUCGCAAGACCUGGCGCUUGAAGAGGGGCCCGCGUCCGAUUAGCUAGUUGGUGGGGUAACGGCUCACCAAGGCUCCGAUCGGUAUCCGGCCUGAGAGGGCGGACGGACACACUGGGACUGAGACACGGCCCAGACUCCUACGGGAGGCAGCAGUGGGGAAUUGUUCGCAAUGGGCGCAAGCCUGACGACGCAACGCCGCGUGGAGGAUGAAGACCUUCGGGUCGUAAACUCCUUUCGACCGAGAUGAAUUCCUGCCGGCCUAACACGCUGGCAGUUUGACAGUAUCGAGGGAAGCAGCCCCGGCUAACUCCGUGCCAGCAGCCGCGGUAAUACGGGGGGGGCAAGCGUUGUUCGGAAUUACUGGGCGUAAAGGGUCGGUAGGUGGCCCGCUAAGUCACACGUGAAAUCCCUCAGCUCAACUGGGGAACUGCGUGUGGGACUGGCAGGCUCGAGUGCGGGAGAGGAACGCGGAAUUCCAGGUGUAGCGGUGAAAUGCGUAGAUAUCUGGAGGAACACCGGUGGCGAAGGCGGCGUUCUGGACUGUAUCUGACACU
rnacentral:rRNA from 1 species